rnacentral:rRNA from 1 species
CGGACGGGUGAGUAAUGUAUAGGAACUUGCCUAGUAGUGGGGGAUAACGUGUGGAAACGCACGCUAAUACCGCAUACGCUCUACGGAGGAAAGCGGGGGAUCUUCGGACCUCGUGCUACUAGAUGGGCCUAUAUCAGAUUAGCUAGUUGGUAAGGUAAUGGCUACCAAGGCGACGAUCUGUAGCUGGUUUGAGAGAAUGAUCAGCCACACUGGGACUGAGACACGGCCCAG